rfam:Marinilactibacillus sp. 15R, complete genome.
GGUUCAUUGGUUUUUAUCAGUCACCCCAUCAGAAGCUGAUAAAAAAAUGUGAAAAACAACAGCUUAAUUAACGUAUCGUUUCGCAGUGCAUGACACCGAGGCGAUACGUUUUUUU